rnacentral:tRNA from 1 species
GCCUUUGUGGUGAAGUGGUCACCACACUCAGUGUGUAUUCGAGAGGGCCGUGGUUCGAGUCCCAGCGAGGGCA